rnacentral:snRNA from 1 species
GCCCCGAAAAUGGAUGGCG